rnacentral:tRNA from 1 species
GGCCGCUUGGCGUAGUGGUAUCGCGCUUGCUUUGGGAAUGAUUCUCCGGAAAAGUUUGCGAUAUGCAAGAGGUCACGAGUUCGAUCCUCGUAGCGGCCC